rnacentral:lncRNA from 1 species
AAAAGUUGACGGGGCAUAUGAAUGAAUGAAUGAAUGAAUGGUUUUCAGAGGAGGAAGCCACAGCGCAUGUGCCAACUUGAUCAAAUGAUGGAUCGUUUCAAGAACAAAAACUAUGUGGUGGUCGGCUGAUGCUGAUUCUCAUCACACUCAUCACAACCUCAACAUAAACCAAAAAUCACAUGCAUCUGUAACGUGUACUUUGAGUUCACUAUAAUUCCACACCAUAUUCCUUCAAUGUUAAUUUCUCUCUCUCUAUAUAUAUUUAUAUGUGUUUGUCUCUGUCUAGCUAGUUUGCUACGUACGUAACAUUAUAUAGCCGUAGCAGCAGAGGCAUAUAAAUAUAUAUUUCAUGCAGAUAUGGGAUUCGUAUCUAUGAGUUCAGUUUGAUUACAGUUUUUAAAUGCUGGUUUUAGAAUCACUAAUUUGUUUUGUUGGAUGGGUUAAGCGAAUAUGAUAUAGAUGUCAUUUGAUUUGAUUCUGCUCUGUUAGUAAUUAAUUAU